rnacentral:rRNA from 1 species
UACGAAGGGGGCUAGCGUUGCUCGGAAUCACUGGGCGUAAAGGGUGCGUAGGCGGGUCUUUUAAGUCAGGGGUGAAAUCCUGGAGCUCAACUCCAGAACUGCCUUUGAUACUGAAGAUCUUGAGUUCGGGAGAGGCGAGUGGAACUGCGAGUGUAGAGGUGAAAUUCGUAGAUAUUCGCAAGAACACCAGUGGCGAAGGCGGCUCACUGGCCCGAUACUGACGCUGAGGCACGAAAGCGUGGGGAGCAA